AGACCGAUAGCGAACAAGUACCGUGAGGGAAAGUUGAAAAGCACUUUGAAGAGAGAGUUCAAGAGUACGUGAAACCGUUUAGGGGUAAACCUGAGAAACCCGAAAGGUCGAAGGGAGAAAUUCAUUCGCGUUUCGCAGUCGGCGUGAGGCGAUCGAGUGACGGAAUGCAUCCUCGGAUGUUUUCUGCACCUUUCGUUUUUCGAUCCGAUAGCGAACGCGUGCACUUUUCUCCUGGUAGGACGUCGCGAUCCGUUGGGUGUCGGUCUACGGCUCACGGUGGAGCCCGGAUGUACGGCUUGCCGUCACGUCCGGACCCGUGUGUCCCGGCUGACUCGCUCGACGGUAUACGAAAGGUUUAAGGCCGCUCUCGCGAGCGUUCGGCUCGUCGCAAGCGCGUCAAAUGUGUCGGUGAUCGGACCUAGUGCCGGUUCUGACCUUUGGCGACUG
rnacentral:rRNA from 1 species